GGGUCACACGGAGACGAGGUCAGUGUAAUAUAAUGUCCUUGUGCUAUAUCGCGCUUAUGUCUAGAGUCAAUUGAAAUGAAAGCAGUAUGUAUACUGGCUGAAACGAAACCAGGUCCUCGCGUUCAGACGGAAUUUCGAUUACCGAUAGGCAAGUUCGAUUCGCGAUUACGCGAGAAUCGUCUCAAAGGUACGAAGAGAGAGCGCAUUCACGGUUACGACAAAGGCCGUUGCACUCAAGUGCAUUGAGCCUAUCGUUGUUCUUGGUUCGACGACCCAGUGCAUGCGAUUUUUCGUGGAACAAAAAUUAAUGUUCUCUGAAGUGUUUUAGAGAAGAUUGAAAGUAAGAACAGGAAACGUCGCGAAAGAGGAAUCUAAUGGGCAAGACUCGCGAAACAUCCGACAAUUUGUAGCGCGGAAGUUGUUCGGGGUGAGUCGUUUAGAGAGAUCGUAAGUAUUACUUACUCCUCGUUAAACUCUGAAGAUGACAUCGCUGACGUCCGCCGUUAACAAACUACUUGGCCCGACAAUGCGAAAAAACAGAAUGCUCUCUCUGCCCACGUAUACCACGACGCACUACACCGUUGCUUUGGGCUAUUACUACAUUAACGAGUCACUACUUCAUACGUUUAUACUGCACCGCCACUCCUUGAUAAGAGGUCUGCCGGUGAUAAUAGACUUUGAUGCUUCGUCGACGUUCCCGCGAACUAUU